CUGGAUGAGUUUGGUUCUGAUGUAUAAGAACUUAAGAAUAUAUAAAUAAGGCUCCUUGUCUUUCUACAAACCAUCGAUAAAACAUAUGGGAAGUUUCGGUUUUAUGGUUUUUAUCUUAUUGCAGUUUCAAUAAGCUCUUUGAGCAUUCUCUUUUGUUUAUUUUAUGGUUUUCAUUUUGUUUAUGAAUGGUUGUUGUCUUUUGAAUUGAUGGAUAAGUCUUGCUCUAAGAUCUUUAUAUGGAAUAAAAUUGUUUGUUUCGACUGGUGUUAUUGGUGUUGUAUGGAUCCCUUACGCUUUCGAACUUAUUACACGGGGUUAGUGUGUGGGCUGCGGGUUCGA
rnacentral:lncRNA from 1 species